rnacentral:rRNA from 1 species
UACAGAGGGGGCAAGCGUUAUUCGGAAUUAUUGGGCGUAAAGGGCGCGUAGGCGGCUUGGCAAGUGGAUGGUGAAAUCCCUCGGCUUAACCGAGGAACUGCCGUCCAAACUGCUUCGCUUGAGACCGGGAGAGGUGAGUGGAAUUCCCAGUGUAACGGUGAAAUGCGUAGAUAUUGGGAGGAACACCAGUGGCGAAGGCGGCUCACUGGACCGGUACUGACGCUGAGGCGCGCAAGCGUGGGGAGCAAACGGG